UCCUCUUACAUUCAGUAAGCAGGAUCUAAGGGUGUUGGGAGUGGACUCUCAUCGUUUUCUUGAAAGGAACUUGGCGCAAAAGGCAGCAGAGAGGUCUCGGUACGGGGUCUCUGAGUCGGACUUGCUUGGUGGUAUCCGGCAGAGCUGGCGGAACCCAGGGGAGCGCAGCAGCAGGUUCUGUGCGAGGCCCAUGAGGCUGGAGCACAGCCAGUAGAGAACAAGCGCCUAGAGAGAACACAUGGGUCAGCAGCUGGGCCUGCAUGGCCAAGCUUGGCACAGACGGUAAAGAGCACUGGCAUUCUGAGCAAGCUACCGGAGAGCGUGGACUAG
rnacentral:lncRNA from 1 species